UAUUAUAUAACAUAGUGCACAGUGAUUUAGCAGUAAUAUAAAUUGAAUAAUAUAAUAUUUUAAAGCACACUAUAAGAUGUUAUCUUUGUAGUUUUUAAUUAAGAAGAGAACUGGUAAUUCAGCAAUUUAUACAAAUAGUCUUUUCUGUGACUGGGAUUUAGCACUUCUCUAACAAAAACUGUGUACACAAAAUGAUUAACAAAAUUAUGUGGAAAAUACAACAUUUGAAUAAUGCAAUGGCUGGUAGCACAAAGUUACACAAAAAUAAAAACUGUUUCAACCACAACUGUAUGAAUGGACUAUUUUUAGUUAUCUUUACGAUGGCUUUGAUGUUUCCCACGCAUAGUAGAACACUUAAAUCAGAGCCGAAUGAAAUCAGGUGCCUAGAUUCAAUGACGUGCACAAAAUGUACACUCAAACCUAUGUGUGUAUGGUCCCUUAAACGACAGACAUGUGAAAACACGAAUCAAUAUAUUUCGUCGAGUUUGAUAGUUUCCAGAAUAGGGGAAUGUCCAAAGUUUUCGGUAGUUAAAAAAUAUGAUUAUCACUAUAAAGAUGAUUUAAAAAUUUUAGUGAACAUCAAUGUUGAGAUAACGAAUGAUGUGGUAAGUUUCAUAAAUUAUCUUAACACCUAUCAAAUGUAUUACGUAGUUCAAGGUGCAUUUGAACGAUCUUGUAAGAUUAAUAACGAAUCUAAAAUAUUGAUAUCAUUUUUUCAAACAAAAUCAUCAGUUAACAUCAAGCCGGACAUUUCUUUUAUAUUUAUUAAGUUCAAUAACAUUAUGAUACGAUUUGACAACGUUGCUAAUCACUAUGUUACGGUGUAUGGACAUAAGGAAUGUGCCACUGAUGAGAAGUUCAAAAUCUGUACGACAUGUGGAUGGAAUACAAACGGGUACUCGAACUACUUGAAAUGGUGUUCCUCCGAAAACACCUGUAAAGAUGACAAGAGUUUAUACAUUAAGAACAAUGCUACAAAUCAGUUAAAUGAAAAAGUAGCGUACGUGACGAAUGAUUGUGCAGAAAUAAAUGUGACUGCGGUAAAUCCGCUGUCUGGACCGAAAACCGGUGGAACGACCCUAACGAUCAUAGUUAGGAACCACAGGAUAUUCGUUGAUAACCGAACGUUAAAGGUAACGGUGGCAGGAACAGUGUGCACGAAUCCCAAGACGUCCGGACUCGAGACUAUAACUUGCACUACGUCACAAGCGGUUGGCACAUUAUCCGGUCCGGUCUUGGUUGAGUACUCGUCGAUUGAAAGCGGACUGAAGAUUGAGUCGUCCCAGAUAUUCCUGUUUUGUGACAAUCCCGUACUGGAUGCGGACCAACAACUUGGAGGCAUAGCGUCCGGUGGCACUUCUGUGCAGAUUCGUGGAAGACAUUUCAUAGAACCUUGCGUUGUAUCCUCUGUCCAACUGUACGUUGACCUGCCGAAUGGUGUCAGAAGGUACGCAUACAAUUUUUGCGAUCCACCGGUUAACGACACCUAUAUGGUUUGCCAAUCACCAAGAAUGAACGGCGCUAGCUGGGACGGGAACCAAUCGGUGGUGGGACAGCUGCUUAACUUCGGGCUUGACGUGCUGAAAUUCACUGGAAAUCAGUCUUUGCACGUCAACGGGACAUCACUUAACUUUCACGUGCACCCCGAUCCGGUUCUUGAAGAUUUCGUAAUGGAAGAAGCUGGUUCAGUAGUCAUCAACGGCUUUAGCUUAGAUCACGUGCAACUGGAUGACAUCGUGGUACGGUUUCUUAAUUAUUCAGCUACGGGUUGCGUAGUCGUGUCGGUUAAAGCAAAUCGUAUUGUAUGCGACCCAACCAUGACCAUCGCUCCAGUUGAUUUGCACGAGAUCUUGGUAAAAAUUGGAGAUUCGUUGACGUACACUUUGGAAAAUAGAUCACCGACACCUAUCGCUGAUCCAUUCAAUCUUUCCGUUUCUAUACUUCCGUCCAUAUUUCCAGAUUCAAAUAAAACCAGUUGUUCGGAUUUCAUGACGUGCACCAAAUGUACAAUAAAACCCAUGUGUAUAUGGUUCCUUCAACAACAGACAUGUCAAAACAGGACUCAAUUCAACUCGUCGGGUUCAUUUGUCUUUGAAAUUGAGGAAUGUCCACGAUUUUCAGUAGUUAAAGAAUAUAAUUAUGGUGAAUCAAGUGUUUCCCUGAAAUACAUUGUUAAUUUAUCGAAUGAAUUGGUAGGUUUUAGAAAUUAUCUUAAAGACAGUAUACUUUAUAACAGAUUUCCAACAUAUUGCAAAUAUCCAACUGUACAGGGUAACGCACAUAACAAAACGAUAAUAGCAUGUGAAUUCUACGUAAAGAAAUCUUAUUUUGAUUAUAAUAAUCCAUCGUUCACUUUUUUUACUUUUAUUAUUGUCAAAGACGUAAUGCUAAGGUUUGAUAACGUUGCUGAUCACUACGUUACUUUUUAUGAAAAGAAAGAGUGUGCAAAUGAUGAAAAGUACAAAUCAUGUGCAACUUGUGCAUGGAAUAAAGAUGGGUAUUCAAACUACUUGAGAUGGUGCUCAUCCGACAACACCUGUCAGGUUCGUAAGAAUUUAUAUAUGGUGAACAAUGGUAAAGAACAGUUAAACGUAAAAUUCGUGCAAUUGACAAAUGAAUGUGGUGAAAUAAAUGUGACGACAGUAGAUCCGCUUUCUGGGCCGGAAACCGGUGGCACGAUUGUAACGAUCACAGUGAGGAACCAUGAGAUAUUAGCAGAGAACCGAACAGUAAUUGUGACGAUGGCAGGAACAGUGUGCAUGAACCCCAGGACAUCAGGAUCAGAGACUAUAAUGUGCACCACAUCACAAUUCAACAAAACAUUGUCCGGUCCGAUUCUAGUCGAGUACUCAUCGAUCGAAAGCGUGUUGAAGAUUGAGUCGACUCAAAUAUUCCAGUUUUGUCUCAAUCCCGUACUGGAUGUUACCCACCAACUUGGAGGCGUAGCAUCUGGUGGCACUUCCGUGCCGGUCCGUGGCAAUAAUUUCGUAGAACCAUGUUUUACAAUUCUUGCCCGGCUGUAUGUUGACCUGUCUGAUGGUGUCAGACGGUAUUCAGAUAGUUAUUGCGAUCCACCAGUCAACGACACGUAUAUGGUAUGCCGAUCGCCAAAAGUGAACGGCGAUAGCAAGGACGGGGACGCGUCAGUUGUGGGGCAGCUACUGAACUUUGGACUGGAAAUAACAUUCAGUAAAGAUGACUUCUCUUUGAAUCAGUCGCUUCCAAUCGUGGUUCGUGGUCCAUCACUCAGAUUUUACGUGCACCCUGAUCCAGUUCUGUUAGACUUUAAAAUAGACGAAAGUGGUUCAAUAGUCGUCAAUGGCGUCCACUUGCAGCAUGUACAGCCUGAAGACAUCGUGAUACAGGUGAUGGAUUCACCAUCUUCAGUUUGCCUAGUCGUUUCGGUGAUACGAGACAGUUUGGUGUGUGAGCCGAAUAUGUCCGUCAAUGCGUCUCAAGUGAUCUUCGUCACAUUGGGAAAUUCGUUGGUGUUCACAGUGAUUAGGAGAACUGACGAUCCGUCCAAACUUAAUGGCUGGUUCCUCGUGAUUAUUGCCAUGUCCACGGUGCUGGUAUUUGUCUGUGCCUUAUCAUUUUGCCUAAGAACAAAACAUCGGGAUAACAUGACAGAAAAUAUUCGUAACCCACUUGAGGCAUCCACAAGUACACAGGACAUAUUCGAACACACUGCGCUGUAAUUUAAAAUCAUAAUAUUGGAAGUGUAUGUUCGCUGGCUGUUUUUAUAAAGACAUUAAUAAAAUUACACUUCAAUGUGAGUUACGGUUCCAGAUAGCAAUAUUCUUUUGAGGGUUUAUUGUAGUUGACAUACCAAGAUUAGCUGAGGACUGUUCCUAGAAUCUAUUCAACCCUCUUAAAUCAAUUUAUCUAAAUAUUGUUCAUACUUUGAAAUUCUUAAGCCAGUCCCGCCCUACAGAACUAUUGUAUUCAUCAA